GCCGUUACCUGCGCCUUCUCCCCCUCGCGGUCGUUCUUCCCUAACCGCAAGCGGGUGGUUUCCUUCUCCCUCGCAUACAAAACCGUGGCCAAGGGAAGUCGCCCCUUUUCUCACAGAUUCUGCCCUAGGUGUCGACGUCGAGACCCCCUUCUCUUCCUCCUCGCCGAUCGCCAGCCACUCCUCACCGUGCCCUAGUCUUCUCUUUUCGUGCCGCCACCACAGCCGGCGCCGUACGGAGCAGCGCCGCUCCUCCCUGUGCCCUAGUUCACCACCACCGCCGCACCCUCUUUGUCGCCUCUCGACCCGAUCAGAGCCGUUUCUGCCGUGCCCCAGCCUUCCCUCCAGCCGACCGUCACAGAGUUUUGGAAGGAUUGGGAGGGGAUCAUCGGCCAACCACUAGGUGGUCGGAGGAUCUGGUCAUGAAGAGUAGUCCGCUGACCUUGGAUUGAGCUCCGGUCAUCUUUGUGCAUGGGCGAUCCACAGUUCUGGGCAUAAACUUCCAGCAACGAACACACACUGCGACUGUGGAUUAAGAAACGACAGUGAGGUGAAUUGAGGACUUUGAUGCGAGACGAGUAUCUCGACGUCAAAUUUGGAUUAGUUUG